UACGUAGGGGGCAAGCGUUGUCCGGAUUCAUUGGGCGUAAAGAGCGUGUAGGCGGCCAGGUAGGUCGGUUGUGAAAACUGGAGGCUCAACCUUCAGAGGUCGACCGAAACCCUCUGGCUAGAGUCCGGGAGAGGAGAGUGGAAUUCCUGGUGUAGCGGUGAAAUGCGCAGAUAUCAGGAAGAACACCCGUGGCGAAAGCGGCUCUCUGGAACGGUACUGACGCUGAGGAGCGAAAGCCAGGGGAGCAAACGGG
rnacentral:rRNA from 1 species